UGCUACUCGUAAGUGAUAAAUGACAUAUCUCACCGUAGACAUAAUUGAAGUCUUUGGUGAAUGACUGGUUGGAAAGUGGAGCAGUCUAAUUAAUUGACUCGGUUUCAACUAUUUUUGGAAUGUUGAACCCUUACAGCGCACUCGAGAUCCCUUUCCUUGCUCCUUAUUUUUCCGAGGCUAAAGGACGUUUCAUUUUUUUCACCGUAUACGUUUCUGGGAAACAUCUAUUUCUUUGGUAUAUCAGUUUUCUUCUAGAAAACAACGGACGUGAUCGAGUUGCUCGAUCAGUUAGCGAUUCGAAAGUACAGUACUUCGAUCAACCCGAAUUAUUUUCGACAUUUUAAAUCAUCCAAACUACACGAACAUCCAUGGCAAAUUCGUACUUAAAAUCAGUAUCACUAAAUCGUUUCAUGCAGUACACUCUACCGUAGUACAAAUUUACUACUGACUUAAGAUUAACCAAAAAGAAAUACAGCUGAUCAACGACAUCGUGACGAAAGCGUUAAUAAAAACUUCUAUUCCUAUGGCUACGGUAAAACCCGAUUUGUCCGAGCUCAGGCGAAAAACAUGGAAUUCAUCGAUGCUUCCCAUUGCCUGAGAUUUCUUCCAACUUCCGACAUUAAUAAUAAUAAGAAUUCACGUUCUCAAAUAAAUGCACGUAACUCGGAAAAGCUCGUGAACCAAACUAAGCAGAUUCAAUCGGAUUCAGGAGGACGGUAAUUCACAAACUAAAGUAUGCAGAUUCGUACGAACGAGGAUUCGAUAGUCCAGGAACCAAGAUUCUAACUAGAAUUCUACUAUCAUACGAAAUCGUCGAGACUAUCUUCCACAACGAAAGAAGCAACCACGAACGGAAUAGUUGGCCAAAUCGGUGGUUCCCUGGCAGUCGAAAGACGGGCAUUUCCUAAUUCUCUCGAAGAGCAUCGGUUCCUUACUCACGACUGGUCGAUUUGCUUUCUCUCGAACGCGACCGUCGGUCGACACGUGUAUACACACAUGCGUCCUAACGAACGAGUCGAAAUGCAUGUAUAAAACGCACAGGUUCAGCGCACAAACGGUUAAGCCUAGGGAAAAAAAGCUAUCCGUCGGUGGUGGCGGUAUGACCGGGGGAGAGAAAGUCACCCGGGGAAACCGUAGUCCUGCGUAAAUUUGUGAGAAUCUGCCGUGGAAGCGCGGUACGAGCUGAGGCCGCGCGGAUGGCCAUAUAAGGCGCGCGAACAAGCUCGCGCAUCUCUCCCUGCUAGGUAGGUAGGUAGGUAAGUUGGUUCGUUGGUUGUUUCGUUGGUUGCUUAGUUGCUUGGUAGGCUCCACUUGAUUGAUUGGUUAGUUGCCCGUUUGAUUGGCUCGCCGAUAUUAUUACAGAGGCGUUAUCUACGAUUUACAGGCUACGAAUCGAGCCGAGAUGCUUCUCCUCUCUUCUGGCUUGUUUUCUGCUUGUCGCCGCAUCGCUCGUUAGGUAUCCGGAAUUUACGGACCUGAUACAGAUCGUACGUCAUCGUGAUAUCGUUUUCACGACGUUGUCGCGAAGCUUUGCCCGGUACCGGUCGAUGAAACGAUCGAUCCUGACGAUGGUUCGACUUUGAUUUUCGUUCGUUUACUGUAAUUGAAGUUUCGAACGUUGGGCAAGGAGAAGAAUAUCGGGUUUUUUAAUUAAUUUGCGUCGGUUAAUUGCAGGUACAUCCUAUGUUAGGCAUAUGAAUUGUAGGCAGAAUUCUAGGAGUAGUGGUUUGUAGAACGAGGCAAUAGCCUUGUAACGAUGAUUCAUAAAUUUUGUAGCAGGGCGACACGUUCUUGAGAACUUUAAUGUAUGCAAACAAAAUUAAAAUCUGAUUCACGCUGGCUUCUGACUUUUUUUCUCUUCCCAUUUGUUAUUCUCUCAUCGAUUUUAUCUUCGCACGAAUUAACCAGAAUUAUCUUCAGGGCUCGUGAACGACGAGUUUUUUUAUUUCAAAUACGAUCAGUGUACGUACACCAUUCGUACCAACAAAUUUCGUUUCAUUGUUCCAGGAAGACGGCACUUCACCUAGAUCGGACGUUUGCGCGAACGAAAGCGACGGAGACACCAGCGAUGGCGAUUCUCCUGUGUCAAAGGAUCUCUCGAAAAAUCACUCAGGUAUAAUGUACCAGAUGCCACAGACAGUAAUUUACUCGCCGACUCCGGGGGUUCUACUCGGUAUCGGGCAAAACGGCCAGCCAGUGCAAAUCUCUCAAGAAGGAGGCACGGUAGCCCCGGUUAACUCGACGCAGAGUAAUCAGCCGUUCAUCACGAUACCGCUGAACGUCGCGAUGAGUGCCGCCGGCUUGUCGCUUCCGGUUACAUCCAGGAUGAAUCUGUCGCCGUCGCCGCGAUCACCAACGACAUCGGCCACGUCCAGCUGCGAGCUACCAUCGGACCUGAGCAAAGAUCGUGAGUGAUAUAUCGCGGAUCGAGCCUCGAUUAAGAAAAAACCCUCCCCGAAGCUUGUCGCUCGACGAUGCAACAAAAGGCUUGACCCGACGAGAUUGGACGGGCCAUCUUUUUUCCAACGAUCGUUUCGGUUCGCCAAAGAAGGUCGGAGCGAACCGUGACGCAUACAGAAACUCGGAAAUCUCGCGCGGAACAUUUUCUCUUCAGCGACGCGACGGGAUGACCUGUUUCGAUCGUACGUCCGAGCCGAAUCGAUCCGACGAUCGAAAUGGACGCGUUCUCUGCGAUGCUAUCGAUACAUACGGAUAGAAUUUGCUGCUUAUCGUGUACGAUCGACUGAUUUGUAUUUUGCAAGAUGCUGGAUUUUGUCGAGAUCAUCUCCUUUGCGCUCGCGAUCUAGCUGGUCGCGACGGUAACGCGUUGCAACGCGGAGGUGCUUGUCAUUGGUCGAGGAUAUUCGUUCGAUGAAACUUUGCCAAAUUAUCGGUACUGUGUUGUAUUUUAUAGAGGAUUGUAUAAAACCAGAGAACAAAACAAAUUGCAACGAUGAAUACGUCGAGAGUAAGGGUGGCAAAUUUGGAUGGAUCUUUGCGUACGAUAUUACGUGCGUAAAUUAGCAUUGACCGACGAUUGGUUGUGGUAUGAAAUUAUCAAUGCGCAUUGGUAUAGUUUUUAUUGAUACUGGACUUUGUUAGCCGGCGUUUAAUCGAUAUUCGUGCAAUACUAGUCGAAGGUUUUACCCAACAACCGUGCCACGAAUUAAUUGUUCACACUGUCUUCGUAGAAUUCACUGCCUUUCCAGUUAUUAUUUAACGUUUCGUAAAUUACUUAACAGAGAGGAAAGGAAUUCGAUAUUUUUUCAAAGGUAAACGUUAUAUAGCGAUAUUUGAAGAUUCGUGGGAUUGGUGAGUCGAACGAGACGCAUUCGAGUGCAGUAAUUUGAUAAUAAUAGAAAAAUGAGCAAGUAAUAAUAAAAUAUCGAAAUUUUAGCGAUACAUUUUAUGUAUCACGUGUGUUAUGUACUAUAAUUGUAUAUAUAUCAACGAUUUGAAGCUUGUAAUUUUUAACGUUUUCUUCUUUUGCAACGUAAAUCAUCACGAAACGAUUACAGAACUUACAGGUUUAUAGCUCGAAGCGGUACAUCAUUCGACUGCGGCGAUUCGUUCGCAAUUCUCAUCCUAGGAAACGCAAAUUCAUACAUAUGGUUGUUCGCGAAUUGUUUGAAAGAAAAGGGAGAUAACUAAAGAGAGAUAUCGAAGAUCGAUGAAUCGUGUGGCGAUGAUGACUUCUCAAUCGUACAGGGUGCUUCUAAAAAUAAUCUAUAAGCUAGCGUUAUCGUUUUUUUGAGCUAUAGAGAAGAAAAUAUUCGAUAUAUUUUCUAACACGGAAGUGCGAUUAACCAAAGACCUUUUUGGUUUAUUCGAAUUGUAUUAUUUAUAUUAGCUUACCCGGAUAAUGAUUCCUCGAGAAACAACGACGUGUUCGCGGUGUUACUGAAACAUAGAAAUUACACAAAUUCCUCGUGAAUCAGUCACAGAAUGUAAAAGGCGAUAAUAGUGUCUCGAGAUCGGGUUAAUUAACCGAACCGUUCAAUCGGUCAGUGAUAAUGUUGGCAAUCGUAACCGUUCGUUUAUACGAUCAUAAUGUUUAAUCGUUAACCGUAAAAUAGCGAUAAGCACGCAUCAUUAUCAGUCAAAUUGAUUCAACAGUAUUUUUACUCACACAGUAAUCUCUAUUUUACACGAUAUGGAAAUAAACCAUCAGCUUGUGAUAGAUAACACGCGAAAAGCUUGUAUUUUUUUUUUACAAUGAACCUAUGAUUUUUACACGGAUAGUACUAUCGACACGUGCGAGGAACAUUGUCAAACUUACCAAAUGAAUUUCUUUCUUUCUUCCUUUGCUUUAUUAAACGAUUUUAAAGACGUAACGCUUCCCUUUAAUGCGAAUUUAUUUUGCUUCUCUAAAUUUCAUCGAUAUUAUUUGGGAUAAACGUUAUUAGGUCAUGAAAGUAUUCUGGAAUGGUACCUGCUUGUUGAAAGAAAAAUUAGAAAGAGCGUAGUUUAGAAAAGAAGCAAAAUGACGAUGUACUUUUUUUAAAAAUUAUCGAAUUUUUUAUGUAUUUUAUAUAUUUAUGUCUAAUCGAUAUUAUUUGAUAGUGCCUUCUUAGAGAAUUAAAAGAUGUUGGAAAAAGUUGAAGAGAAAAACUUUAAUAUUACACUUAUAAGUACUAUGUGCUCCUUAGAAUGAAUUUUUUAAACUUAAUGCAAAUGUAUUACGAAUUUUAUUAACUUUUCUCAUUAGGUAAUGCUAGUCAAAAGAUCGUAUUAUACCUAGUCAUUGAAAUGUGCAAUGAAACAUAAACAAGCAUUUAAUUUUUGUAUCGUAACAUUGCUCGAAGCAGCUGCAGAAUGUAAUAAAGUUACUCGAUGAAAAUUAAGAAACUAAAGUAUAAAAUCUGAUAAAAAUUUUAAUGAAACUCUAAAUUGAAGGAACCAAUCGCGGAACUUUUAACAAUCUGUUUCGAUAGAAAUUUAUAUCAUAAACGAGAUAUUCUAUCGCCUGUACAUUGUAUAAAAUUAUCCUAACAUUGUUUUGAGCAGUGAAUACGUUGUAUGGAUUGCCAUAAGAAUAAGAGAUUUAUAAUAUGAACGAUAGUACGAUCCGUGGGAUAAUGUGAAAGAUUCUUAUGCCAAAAUCCAUACAUUCUCGUCCAAAAGGGAAUACCGUUGUAUCAUGCAUUUAUCAUAAAUAUCUUGAAAACAUCAAAUUUCACUUUAUAUCUUUCGAAAUUUUCGACACUGGCCUGUUCAAACGAAUUACAUGACGGAAUUCAGGCAUUUCAUUUAUUAUUUCAUCCUGUUAUCGAUUAAAAUAAUCUUACGUCAAAUAGUGGAAGUUCGAUUUCGUUUCAUUUUAUACCUUUCUUGAUCAUAAAUAUAUUUCAUAUACAGUAGUACGUAACUCGUUUUUAAAAAUGUUUCGCUAAACUUCGUUCUUAAAUACUUUGCUUUUGUUGUAAAUAAAUAAUACGUGAAACCUGUAUAGUAAAGAUUCAUAAAACAAAUACUCGCGGUUUUACGAAUACCAAACUGAUUUUUCGUCACCCUGCGAAUCGGCGACAGCAACCUAAAGUUCUAUUUUAACUUCGUUAGAUAAUUUUUGAUAUUGAAAAACGACUUCAGUUAUUCCAAGAGAAUGAUAAAAAUUACUUAUAACCUUCGUGCUUCCACGUGCAAUAAUUACAUCGAUAACUACCGUAAACAAUUUUCUCCUAUAAUAAGAAAUAUCCAAAAAGAUAAGGUACACAGCUCUCUGAAAAUUAAGCAUACGUAUACAUGAUGCACAUCGACCUAUUCAAAUGCGAAUGGAAUUCACCUUAAUCUCGCGUUAUGUAAAUUAAAAUCGAAAUGAAACAGCAAAAAGAGGAAAAUUCAAACAAUAAUUUCUACAUUCUGUUAUCGCACAAAUGCACACAUACUUUUUAAUGCCGCACCAUGCAAUAUUACAAGAUAAUUAUAGUUCGUAAAACGCAUGCUACUCGAGAGAGUGAUUUUAUGAUCACAUAUGAAAAUGAUAUUUACAACAGCUAAGGUAUUUAUAAAUCGUUCACCAGGCAAAUAUGGUAAAAUAAUAAUGGGACGAAACAAUUCGAGCGUUAUGACUUGUGUGUACACGUGUAAUUAUGAUGGAACUUUAUCGAAGUGCUAAAGGAAGAUGGAAUAAUGUUUGAAUGGAGAAACACGUGAAAUGCGUUUGUGAACUAUCUAUAUUACUUUCGAAAAUUUUACUUCGUUUUUGUGCGUUAUUGUUAUCUACGCUUAACGAGUGUUCUUUACUUUCUUCGUCGAUUAUAUUUCUUUACAUUCGAUGCAGUAAAAUUAGAAAAUUUGACGAUAGUAUAAGAAUCAUUGGUUUUCACGAAAUGUUAUGUUUCGGAUGUAAAGACGAGCAAUUAAUAUCUAAAAAAUGAAGAGUAACACGCGAAUAAUGUCUUAUGAACCUCAUAAAGUGCAGUACCUCGAAAAAUUCGAUGGCCAUGGCUCGAGCUUAAUGUUUGUAUAAUAGUAGAGAAAUUCGUAUGUUCAGCAUGUCCGUUGGGAAUCCAGAUUCUCGACCAUCGUCGACGAAUGACAAAUUUAAAUGCGUUCUAUUUUAUAUACAAUUUAUAUAUACAUAUCUAUGUAAUAUACGCUGCGAGGGUUGUUUAAAUUUUUCUGGGAUUUUAUAAUUUUCUUAUGAAUAAAGACAUUUGAAGAAUAUCACAGGUAUUUUAUGUAAUUUUAUCAAGACAAAUAUCAGUACAAAAUUUUGAAUUUCUCAAGUAGUUAUAUCAGAGAUUAUUCAAUAUUUAAUGUAAAUUACAACUUAUUCCAGUUUUUCCAAUCCUUAUAUCUCUGUUAAUAAUCUAAAGAUAUUUUGCCUAUUCUUACAAAUUCACCGACACAUAAUCGUUAAUUCGUGAUAAAUAAACGUUAAACUCAAAGAUUUCUUAUAUAACAAAAGUCUUGUACACUUAUCAUAAUAAUUUUAAAAAAUGUUUGAAAAAUAUUAUAUAGCAAACUUUAAUAUUUCCAUGUAUGCGUAUGAUGUACAUAAAAUGGUAAUAUUACAAAGAUCAUUCAAUGACUCAACCAAUCUGUUAUACAUAAAGGAAGAGAAAGAACUCCUGAAAUAUCAGAGAAAUACAUCUAUGGUAAAAAAAUCGAACCAAAUCAUUGAUUAUGUAACAAAUAAUUAUAUUCAUAACAAUCGCAAUCAUACUAUAGAUAAAAUUGCAACAACCCUCGGCUAUACAUGAAUUGCAAUGUUUUUUUAUUACUUCUCUACUGUAAUAUAUAUUACAGCAUGAAGAAUGUUUGUAACGAAUGAACAUAUGUAGACAUAUCGUUGUUUUUUUACACUAACUUUACGUAAUGUACCGAUCAUGUAACAUUGUUAGAAUUGUUGUGACGAAUACGUCGGAUAUGAAGAAAUGAAAUAUAAUUAUUCGAAUUACAAUUUUUGUGGA